rnacentral:rRNA from 1 species
CCAAUAGCGUAUAUUAAAGUUGUUGCAGUUAAAAAGCUCGUAGUUGAAUUUCGGGAUCAAUAUAUCGGUCGUGCCAUUGGUACGUACUGGUAUCAUUGAUUUCUCCUUUCUGACGAACCAUGAUGUCAUUAAUUUGGUGUUAUGGGGAGUUAGGACUGUUACUUUGAAAAAAUUAGAGUGUUUAAAGCAGGCAUUAGCUUGAAUACAUUAGCAUGGAAUAAUGAAAUAGGACGUUUGACCCUAUUUUGUUGGUUUCUAGGAUCGACGUAAUGAUUAAUAGGGAUAGUUGGGGGCAUUAGUAUUUAAUUGUCAGAGGUGAAAUUCUUGGAUUUAUUGAAGACUAACUACUGCGAAAGCAUUUGCCAAGGAUGUUUUCAUUAAUCAAGAACGAAAGUUAGGGGAUCGAAGACGAUCAGAUACCGUCGUAGUCUUAACCAUAAACUAUGCCGACUAGGGAUCGGAUGAUGUUAAUUUUAUAAUGACUCAUUCGGCGCCUUACG